CACAGUUGAACUUCUAACAGGUUUUGUUGCUAAACAGUCAACUCCAUCAUUUCCCUCAACAGUGCGAUGUGCAGGGCCCAUAAGGUGCAGACAUAUGAACCGAACUUUGUAUAUGAAAUAAUGCUUGAUGAGUUUCCAACAGUCAAUCUGACCUACUGCUAGAAUGUCCUGUUUUAAGGCUCAUCAAAACCGAAAGAGAAUCUGAACAAAUUACAAGUUUGCAAGGACCAAUUUCCUCCACACACUGUAACCCUAAAAUCAAAGCAAAGAAUUCUGCUUCAUAUACCCACAAAUGGCUGCCCCCUCAUUUGUGAGAAUCGCAAGAGCACCCUUUGAGGAGGGGGGGGGUCAGUAGACCCAGGAAGUGAGAGAGAGAGGAACGUGAAAAAUUGCACGUCCCACCAGGGAUACAGAAUAAGAUGCCAGCAACUAUUGUCUCAUGGAGACCACGUGAAAAGCCCUUGGGCAAGGUGGGCUGGUUGAGAGAGAGAUUGCAUCAUCUCAACCUGAUUGACACCUGCGACCCCGUGAGGAAGUAUAAAGGAGAGUCUCAGGGGGACAGCCCCUUAGACGCACCCAGAAGACACGAGAGAGCGAUCCCGCAGUAGCGGGAUGCCAUUCUGAAGGAAGCCACGUGCGUUAGAUUCCGGGAUUGGAAUUUGUGGCUGGAAUCACACAGGAAACCGCUUUUAACUAUCAUCGGGGAGAGGGAACCAACGCUUCCCCGAUUUCACGGAAGAUUCAUCAAGACUCGGCAAGUUCUUUCUCUUCUCCCCCGCCCAAUCUCUCUCUCUCGGUCGCCCCACGCAAAACCCAGCGAUUUUCAAAGGGCUGCGGCCUGCAGACCUUCAGAGUGACUUUUAUAUUUCCAACGGACAAUCUAUUAACCCCUAGACACCAGCAGAGCUCACUUCUUAAUGAUGAUAAUUACUAUACCCGCGCUUUAGAUUGAAUGUUGACAAUGUGCACUAUCUAAAUGUAUGUAUUAACCCUACUUUUGUGUCCCUUUAUGAGUAAAACGUUUGAAAAUAGUGACAUCAGACUUCAACGGACCUCUCUAUCUUUGCUGCAGCUAUGCAGAGAAAAGACAAAAUUACACUAAAUCACAAAAUACUUCAAUAGUGCAAAAAGGACCAAUGAGGAUGUGUUCCCUCUUUCUCCUGAAGUGCAUGCCCACUGGCAUUGGACAUUUCCUCCUUAGAGAAAAAAUCCCGGCUGUCCAAUCUGUCUGUGUCUCUCACAUUCCUGUAAACGUCUGUCAGACCUCUCUCAGCCUCUGCCACUCCGGAGAAAAUUCCCCGAGAUUGUCCGGUCUCACUUUAUCCAGGCAGCAUCCUGUUAAGCCUCUUCCACUCACCAUCCAAAACCUCCGCAUUAUUCCUGUCUUCAAAUGCAAUUCUCCAGAUGUGGAUAAACUAGAGAUUUAUACAACUGCAACAUAACUGCCUGACAAUGGAACCACUAUCUGGGAGUUAUGAUCUCGGAUUCCAAGAUCCCCCUGUAGAUCAACACAGUCCAAUCUCGCCCCAUGAAUAUAACAGCAACGAGAUAAUGCUGAGGCUUUAUAAGACUCUAGUCAGGCCACACUUGGAGUAUUGUCAACAGUGUUGGGCCCCACAUCUCAGACAGGAUGUGUUGUCAUUGGAGAGAGUCCAGAGGAAGUUCAGAAAGAUGAUUUCGGGAAUGAAGGGAUUAAAAUAUGAGGAGCACUUGGCAGCUUUGACCCUGUGCUCACUGGAACUCAGAAAAAUGCGGGGCAUCUCAUUGAAACCUACCGAAUGUUGAAAGGCCUGGAUAAGGUGGAUGUGGAGAAGGUAUUUCCUGUGGUGGGGCACAGCCACAAAGUUGAAGGGCCACCUUUUCAAACAGAGGUAAGCAGCUUAUUUUUUUUAUUAGCCAAGGUGUAAUGGAUCCGUGGAAUGCUCUGCCACAGACUGCGGUGGAGGCCGAGUGUGUGGGUAUAUUCAAGGUGGAAGUUGAUCGUUUCCUGAUUGGUCAGGGCAUCAAAGUAUAUGGCGGGAGGUCAGAUAUCUGGAAAUGAGUGCGAUCUGGGAUCAGCCAUGAUGGAAAGGUGGCUGACUCAAUGGGCUGAAUGGCCUAAUUCUGUUCCGAUGCCUUAUGGACUUAUGAACAGAAGCCCCCUCAAUCAUGAUGAAUCUCCUCUGCACUCUUCCAGCACAAAACAACCUUUGUACGGAAUGCUAAGCGGAACUGAAUGCAACUUUUCAAGAACGUUAUCAUGUCAGGCAGCAUCUGUUGAGGGGAAUAGAGUCGAUGGCUGGGACAGAACCCGUCACUUACGGUGCUAACACAGGCCUUUCGGCCCAACCUUCUCGUGCUGUCUUCCUGUCCAUUUAAACUAAUCCCUCUGCCUGUCUUUGACACAGAACACAGAAAUCUACAGCACAUUACAGGCUCUUCAGCCCACAAUGUUGUACCGACCAUGUAACCUACUCUAGAGACUGUCUAGGAUUUCCCGAUCAUAUAGCCCUCUGUGUUUCUAUCCUCCAUGACGCUAUCUAAGAGUCUAUUAAAAUAUCCUGUUGUAUCCACCUCCACCAUCGCUGCCGGCAGUGCAUUCCACACACCCACCACUCUGUGUGUAAGAAACUUACCCCUGACAUUCCCUCAGUACCGACUUCUAAGCAGCUAAAACUACGUCCCCACGUGUUAGGCACUUCAAGCCUUGGAAAAUGCCUCUGGCUAUCCACAUGGUCAAAGCCUCUCAUCAUCUUAUACACCUCUAUCAGGUCACCUCUCAUCCUCCGUCGCUCCAAGAAGGAAAGGCUAAGUUCACUCAAUCUAUUCUCAUAACGCUGCUCUCCAAUCCAAGAGCUACAUCCUUGUAAAUCUACUCUGCACCCUAUAGUAUCCACAUCCUUCCUGUAGUGAGGCCACCAGAACUGAACACAGGACUCCCAAGUGGGGUCCAACUAAGUCCACAGCCCUGCCGUGUCGGGGUACAAUUACUUAUGUACAGGUUAGGAGAAAUAUCGCUUCAACAUCACCUCACAGCUCUUGAACUCAAUCCCACGGUUGAUAAAGGCCAUCACACCAGACCCCUUCCUAACAACACUGCCAACCUCCACAGCAGCUUUGAGUGUCGUAUGGACAUGGACCCCAAGAUCUAUCUGACCGUCCACAAUGCCAAGAG